ACAAUAUUCGGACCGUCGGUCUAUCGAGCAAUAACACCCGCUUGGUGGAAGAUCUACGGGAUCUACCCUUCGUCAU
rnacentral:pre_miRNA from 1 species